ACACAUGCAGUCGAGCGGAGAUGAGGUGCUUGCACCUUAUCUUAGCGGCGGACGGGUGAGUAAUGCUUAGGAAUCUGCCUAUUAGUGGGGGACAACAUUCCGAAAGGAAUGCUAAUACCGCAUACGCCCUACGGGGGAAAGCAGGGGAUCUUCGGACCUUGCGCUAAUAGAUGAGCCUAAGUCGGAUUAGCUAGUUGGUGGGGUAAAGGCCUACCAAGGCGACGAUCUGUAGCGGGUCUGAGAGGAUGAUCCGCCACACUGGGACUGAGACACGGCCCAGACUCCUACGGGAGGCAGCAGUGGGGAAUAUUGGACAAUGGGCGGAAGCCUGAUCCAGCCAUGCCGCGUGUGUGAAGAAGGCCUUUUGGUUGUAAAGCACUUUAAGCGAGGAGGAGGCUACUUAGAUUAAUACUCUAGGAUAGUGGACGUUACUCGCAGAAUAAGCACCGGCUAACUCUGUGCCAGCAGCCGCGGUAAUACAGAGGGUGCGAGCGUUAAUCGGAUUUACUGGGCGUAAAGCGUGCGUAGGCGGCUGAUUAAGUCGGAUGUGAAAUCCCUGAGCUUAACUUAGGAAUUGCAUUCGAUACUGGUCAGCUAGAGUAUGGGAGAGGAUGGUAGAAUUCCAGGUGUAGCGGUGAAAUGCGUAGAGAUCUGGAGGAAUACCGAUGGCGAAGCAGCCAUCUGGCCUAAUACUGACGCUGAGUACGAAAGCAUGGGGAGCAAACAGAUUAGAUACCCUGGUAGUCCAUGCGUAACGAUU
rnacentral:rRNA from 1 species